AUUUGUUAAAGAUUAUUGCUGAUAGAUAGGCAUGCGUUCCAUUAGGCAGUUGGCGGGGUAACGGCCCACCAAACCGACGAUGGAUAGGGGUUCUGAGAGGAAGGUCCCCCACAUUGGUACUGAGACACGGACCAAACUCCUACGGGAGGCAGCAGUGAGGAAUAUUGGUCAAUGGCCGAGAGGCUGAACCAGCCAAGUCGCGUGAAGGAAGAAGGAUCUAUGGUUUGUAAACUUCUUUUAUAGGGGAAUAAAGUGAGGGACGUGUCCCUUUUUGUAUGUACCCUAUGAAUAAGCAUCGGCUAACUCCGUGCCAGCAGCCGCGGUAAUACGGAGGAUGCGAGCGUUAUCCGGAUUUAUUGGGUUUAAAGGGUGCGUAGGUUGUUUUUUAAGUCAGCGGUGAAAGUUUGUGGCUUAACCAUAAAAUUGCCGUUGAAACUGGGGAACUUGAGUGUGUUUGAGGUAGGCGGAAUGCGUGGUGUAGCGGUGAAAUGCAUAGAUAUCACGCAGAACUCCAAUUGCGAAGGCAGCUUACUAAACCAUAACUGACACUGAAGCACGAAAGCGUGGGGAUCAAACAGGAUUAGAUACCCUGGUAGUCCACGCAGUAAACGAUGAUUACUAGGAGUUUGCGAUAGACAGUAAGCUCUACAGCGAAAGCGUUAAGUAAUCCACCUGGGGAGUAC
rnacentral:rRNA from 1 species